rnacentral:rRNA from 1 species
UACGUAGGCAGCGAGCGUUGUUCGGAGUUACUGGGCGUAAAGGGUGUGUAGGCGGUUUUCUAAGUUUGGUGUGAAAUCUCCCGGCUCAACCGGGAGGGUGCGCCGAAAACUGGGAGACUAGAGUGCGGGAUGGGAGAGUAGAAUUCCUGGUGUAGCGGUGAAAUGCGUAGAUAUCAGGAGGAACACCCGUGGCGAAGGCGGCUCUCUGGGACGGUACUGACACUGAGACGCGAAAGCGUGGGGAGCGAACAGG